CCUGCUCCGUCACGAGCGCCGUCACCCCCGACCUUGUUCUCCGGCAGCAGCCUCGAUCCCCGACCUCCAGCUGAUGCCGUAAUCAACCAUCCGCUCUGUUACCUGAGCGCCACCAAUCGCCCCAACCUCCAGAUCCCGUCCAAGUCCCACGAACUUCAGAUGCCUUCCAAGGUGCGCAUGUCGGUACAUAGAAUUUUUGGCAAUAAAGAAUGGAAUAGGUGUGUCAAUGCGUGAGGGAGCUGAUAUAUUGCAGUCCUAUCAGCUAGCCAUUGGAACGUUUGGGAAAGCAUGUUGUUGAUCUGGAUAGCCCCUUCCAGGACAUCUUCGUGCAUUGUUGCGUUGUUGGGCAUGGAAGAAACAGGGUAUAUUUACAAUUGCAUUUGCCCCACUGACUGCUGCGUAUCUUCCCCUCCAUUGAUUAUCAAAUGAAUUCCAUUUUGUGCAUCUGCUGAUGUGAAGGAAGACGGUGGUAAGCAAAGUGAUAUGAAGGUGGCAUCGAUGUCAUUAUGUAGCUUCUUUUGUCAGGGUUUAACAUGACUUAUGUGAGCUAUAUUUAUCUCGACUUGAAUUGUGUAUACACUAGGCUUUGCAUGUUAUUAGAGUGUCCCGUCCAUGUAAUGUACUUGGCCAUGAACUCAGCCUUUUAUUUAUGUCUUUAUGUCCAAAUGUAUACCAUAUUUGUUGUGGUCUGAUGUUUCUAUCUGACAUCUUACGUACUACUAUCUUUGGAAGAAUGAGCUGAUGUAC